AACAAACGCUGGCGGCGCGCCUAACACAUGCAAGUCGUACGAGAAAGGGUCCUUCGGGGCCUGAGUAAAGUGGCGCACGGGUGAGUAACGCGUGGAUAAUCUGCCCUUCAGUUGGGAAUAACUCAUCGAAAGGUGGGCUAAUACCGAAUAAUGCUGUGAGACCUCGGUUGAUCAGCCAAAGAGAGCCUCUGCUUGCAAGCCCUCGCUGAAGGAUGAGUCCGCGUACCAUUAGCUAGUUGGUAGGGUAAUGGCCUACCAAGGCGACGAUGGUUAGCUGGUCUGAGAGGAUGAUCAGCCACACUGGAACUGAGACACGGUCCGGACUCCUACGGGAGGCAGCAGUGAGGAAUCUUGCGCAAUGGGGGCAACCCUGACGCAGCAACGCCGCGUGAGUGAGGAAGGUCUUCGGAUCGUAAAGCUCUGUCGGAUGGAAAGAACCGCAUAGGGGUAAACAGCCCCUGUGUCUGACGGUACCAUCAAAGGAAGCACCGGCUAACUCCGUGCCAGCCGCCGCCGUAAUAC
rnacentral:rRNA from 1 species